UACGGAGGAGGCUAGCGUUAUCCGGAAUCAUUGGGCGUAAAGCGUCCGUAGGCGGGACAAUAAGUCAGUGGUGAAAGUCUGCAGCUUAACUGUAGAACUGCCAUUGAUACUGGUGUCCUUGAGUAAUUAUGAAGUGGUUAGAAUAUGUAGUGUAGCGGUGAAAUGCAUAGAUAUUACAUAGAAUACCGAUUGCGAAGGCAGAUCACUAAUAAAAUACUGACGCUGAUGGACGAAAGCGUAGGUAGCGAACAGG
rnacentral:misc_RNA from 1 species